UACGAAGGGGGCUAGCGUUGCUCGGAAUCACUGGGCGUAAAGGGUGCGUAGGCGGGUCUUUAAGUCAGGGGUGAAAUCCUGGAGCUCAACUCCAGAACUGCCUUUGAUACUGAAGAUCUUGAGUUCGGGAGAGGUGAGUGGAACUGCGAGUGUAGAGGUGAAAUGCGUAGAUAUCUGGAGGAACACCGGUGGCGAAGGCGGCAUCCUGGACCGAUAUUGACGCUGAUGCGCGAAAGCCAGGGGAGCAAACGGG
rnacentral:rRNA from 1 species